UUAAAACCCAAUGCCUUCACUGUGCCAAGCAAUUCAAUAUUGCAUUCAACUGCAAGUAUUGGAGAUAUAUUGGCUGUAAUAUUGGAGCCAUGAAUAUUAUGUAGAUGGGAUAGUAGCCAUGAUAGAUAUGUUAUAAUAAUUAUGCACUAGCAGACAUAGCAAUAAAAUCAGUACCAGUGAUAUUUCCUGUAAUGGAAUGAUAUUCUUUUGAGAAUGUCUGUUGAAAUGGAGCAAGGAGACAAUAUAGAGGAUGUGGUGCGAAGAAAUAAGGUGGCAGUGAAAAACCAGGAGAAUCCCUUUUCACCAGAUGGGGAACUCAGUCACAAGGGGGACGAGAUAGUGAAACGUUCAACAAUAACAAGAAAUGAGGUGAUAAUAUAUGACCCUGACCUUGUACCAGAGGAUGUCGAGGUCAGUGAAACUGUCGAAGCCGUAGAGGCAACCCCCAAUGCUAGUCAGCCCUCCAGGCCAAAUGACUUGCCUAAGGAGAAUGGUAAAGACACUACUACCCCACAAGAGGUAGAUGUGGAGGUCAAAGACAAUGAAGCUGAGACUCCAGGACAUGCAGAAAAAGUUACUCUACCAAAAGACAAAGGGAAAUGUAAAUGCUGCGUUAUUCAGUAGCAUGAUGUUGUGGAAGUAGUUAGCAGCCCUUGUCUAUAACAUACUAUAAAAAAUAUAAUGGUAGGAUGUAAUCUCAAGCAACUAGCAGACAUAGAAUAAUAAUUAGCGGACUAACUGCUAGUGCUCCUCGCUGCCAUGUGUCCACACACUUUCAGGACGUAUUAACUAAAACUAGGAUUUCUGAAACAAUGAGGAUGGCGGUUGGCAACUAGUGUUUCUCAAACAAUGGGAAUGGUG
rnacentral:misc_RNA from 1 species